rnacentral:rRNA from 1 species
UACGGGGGGGGCAAGCGUUGUUCGGAAUUACUGGGCGUAAAGGGCGCGUAGGCGGUUCGCUAAGUUGGAUGUGAAAACUCUGGGCUCAACCCAGAGCCUGCAUCCAAAACUGGCGGGCUAGAGUUCUGGAGGGGGUAGCGGAAUUCCUGGUGUAGCGGUGAAAUGCGUAGAUAUCAGGAGGAACACCAAUAGCGAAGGCAGCUCGCUGGGACGGUACUGACGCUGAGGCGCGAAAGCGUGGGGAGCGAACAGG